AUUCUGCUGAUUUUCUGUUCAGCCUUACAGCCCUUAAAUAACACCCAGUGCUCUGCUCUUCCCAGGUUCCAGCCACACAACCUUCCACCCUCAGACUGCACCACAGGCUCUUGUCCUGCAUCACCUGGCACCUCUCCAAUGCCCUGGCAGAGCUGAGAGCUUCAGGCAGUUCAUUUACUUAUUUAAAAGCCCAGGAGCUGGAAGAGAAAUCCACUGCUGAAAACCACACUGCAGCAUCUUCCUGCCAUGGGCUGAGCACAGAACGAGGACACCCUGAAAUCUUCACCCUCUGCUUUAGCAAACUCCAGCUUUUACUCCCCUGAAGUCCAAGGAAACUCCCAGCAGAGCAGGCAGAGCCCUCCCUGACCUCGUGGCUCAGGAAGCACAGCAAGUUCCCAACAGGCACAGCCAUUCCCAGGCAGCAUUUCCCAACCCUGAGGUCAUGCUACCACUGCACCUGAUCCCUAAAUCCUUUCCCAGCCCUCCAUAAAGCCUCUGCUUCACAGAGGUGAUUUCAGCUCAGCAUCUGAGGGACGUUAAACUGCCUGAGUUGUGGCCUGAGGACAGCCCUGCACCCUGUGGGGAUGGGAACUCCUCUGUCCUGCCCUAAGCACUGACAAACCCAGCCCCUGCAAGGAAACACCAGGGGAAUGUUUGCCCCAGCCCAAGUGGCAGAGGCUGCUCUGCUGCCCCUGCCAGAGCCAGAGCAGAGCUCUGAGCCAGCCCUGGCCCCCAGCCCCACACAGCAGCUCUGCACCUUGCCUGCCCCAAGCACAGCACUGCCAGGGAUGGUUUUAACUUUGGUGUUUUCCAAAUUCUCUGCUGCCUGGUAACUCUGGCACUUCCUCUCAGGUGUUAGCAGGUUCUCUUCACAGGGUAGUUGGACAAAGCAAUCCCUUCCCAGCUGGAGAAUCAAGGACAGCCUCUACCCAAAGAGCACAAACAAUGCAAAGAGAAGGGGGCAAGCCAGGGGGCAGAGACUUCAUGACCUGGAGCUGCAAUUGGACAACUGAACCCAAUAUGUAGAUGAACCAAAACUGAUAGAAGUGUAAAAACUCCUGACCAGGAUCCAUCUUAAAUUCAGCCUGGGUGCAGCCCUGGCCAGGCUGCUGUGCUGCCCAAGGUGUGUCCUUUUAAGGCCUUGCAAUAAAUACUUAUUUUGUCCAUUUA